rnacentral:rRNA from 1 species
AUUGAACGCUGGCGGCAGGCCUAACACAUGCAAGUCGAACGAGAGGCGGACGGGUGAGUAAUGUCUGGGCAACUGCCCGAUGGAGGGGGCUAACUACUGGAAACGGUAGCUAAUACCGCAUACGAUCGGAUGGGCCCAGAUGGGAGUAGCUAGUCGGUGGGGUAACGGCUCACCUAGGCGACGAUCCCUAGCUGGUCUGAGAGGAUGACCAGCCACACUGGAACUGAGACACGGUCCAGACUCCUACGGGAGGCAGCAGUGGGGAAUAUUGCACAAUGGGCGCAAGCCUGAGGCAGCCAGGCCGCGUGUAUGAAGAAGGCCUUCGGGUUGUAAAGUACUGUCAGCGGGGAGGCGUUACUCGCAGAAGAAGCACCGGCUAACUCCGUGCCAGCAGCCGCGGUAAUUC